GACGAACGCUGGCGGCGUGCCUAAUACAUGCAAGUAGAACGCUGAAGGAGGAGCUUGCUUCUCUGGAUGAGUUGCGAACGGGUGAGUAACGCGUAGGUAACCUGCCUGGUAGCGGGGGAUAACUAUUGGAAACGAUAGCUAAUACCGCAUAAUAGCAGUUGUUGCAUGACAACUGUUUGAAAGGUGCAAUUGCACCACUACCAGAUGGACCUGCGUUGUAUUAGCUAGUUGGUGGGGUAACGGCUCACCAAGGCGACGAUACAUAGCCGACCUGAGAGGGUGAUCGGCCACACUGGGACUGAGACACGGCCCAGACUCCUACGGGAGGCAGCAGUAGGGAAUCUUCGGCAAUGGACGGAAGUCUGACCGAGCAACGCCGCGGGAGUGAAGAAGGGUGUCGGAUCGUAAAGCUCUGUUGUAAGAGAAGAACGAGUGUGAGAGUGGAAAGUUCACACUGUGACGGUAUCUUACCAGAAAGGGACGGCUAACUACGUG
rnacentral:rRNA from 1 species